CCUACGGGUGGCAGCAGUGAGGAAUAUUGGUCAAUGGACGCAAGUCUGAACCAGCCAUGCCGCGUGAAGGAUGAAGGCCUUCUGGGUUGUAAACUUCUUUUAUUGGGGAAGAAAAUUACGGUUUCUACUGUAACCGACGGUACCCAAGGAAUCAGCACCGGCUAACUCCGUGCCAGCAGCCGCGGUAAUACGGAGGGUGCAAGCGUUAUCCGGAUUCACUGGGGUGAAGGGGUGCUAUUAAGGGCGUUUUGAAAUCUCCGGGCUCAACCUGGAAACUGCCAUUGAUACUAUUAGUCUUGAAUAUCGUUGAGGUAGGCGGAAUAUAUCAUGUAGCGGUGAAAUGCAUAGAUAUGAUAUAGAACACCGAUUGCGAAGGCAGCUUGCUAAACGAUGAUUGACGCUGAGGCACGAAAGCGUGGGGAUCAAACAGGAUUAGAUACCCCAGUAGUC
rnacentral:rRNA from 1 species